rnacentral:ncRNA from 1 species
UGGCGGGGACGACCCCGCCUGACACACCGCACACCGGGGACGACCCCA